rnacentral:piRNA from 1 species
GCGCCUUGAGAGGGAGACAGCACAAGGUC